AGGUGGCUAGUUUAAUAAAAACACUUGAUUUCGGCUCAAGAGCUUAUGGUUCAUGUCCAUAGUCUCCUU
rnacentral:tRNA from 1 species